GCCGCGGUAGCUCAGCUGGGAGAGCGCCGGACUGAAGAUCCGGGUGUCGCCGGUUCAAAUCCGGCCCGCGGCACCA
rnacentral:tRNA from 2 species